rnacentral:lncRNA from 1 species
GUGGAGUGAGGAACCCAGCAACACGCUCCUGACUUCCCUUCCCAAGGACUCGACCUGAGAACCGCCAUGUACUCGGAGAUCCAGAGGGAGCGGGCAGACAUUGGGGGCCUGAUGGCCCGGCCAGAAUACAGAGAGUGGAAUCCGGAGCUCAUCAAGCCCAAGAAGCUGCUGAACCCCGUGAAGGCCUCUCGGAGUCACCAGGAGCUCCACCGGGAGCUGCUCAUGAACCACAGAAGGGGCCUUGGUGUGGACAGCAAGCCAGAGCUGCAGCGUGUCCUAGAGCACCGCCGGCGGAACCAGCUCAUCAAGAAGAAGAAGGAGGAGCUGGAAGCCAAGCGGCUGCAGUGCCCCUUUGAGCAGGAGCUGCUGAGACGGCAGCAGAGCUGGAAAAACCACCAGAGAAGGAAGAGGAUCACGCCCCCGAGUUUAUUAAAGUCAGGGAAAACCUGCGGAGAAUUGCCACACUGACCAGCGAAGAGAGAGAGCUGUAGGGCCAGCUGCCGGGCUCAGGCCACUGCCCACCCUGGCCUGGACAGCCUCCUUCAGCCCUUCUGUACCUGGCAGCCCUGGGCCCCAGGCCCUGGGACGUCUGUGAUGUUCCCACCUGCUUCUGUAGAAAUGUGUCACCCCAGAGGGCCUGGCUCUCCCUGGGAGGCUGGGGCCCCUAAGCUCCUAGGUUUUCCUUCCAAGCACCCAGCCCUCCUGCUCCAAGAGGGAUAACCUGCACCCCUCCCUGCAAGGGGUUCAGAGCCCAGCACAGGAGCUUUCUCUGGCAGAAUUGAGGAGGAAGAGGUGGCCCUCUGACUUGACAAGCCUUCUGUUCUGCCCAGGCCUUCCCACCAGGAAUCUCCGAGGCUCCCCAGGGCCCCGCUUCUCCGUACACCCCAGCUCCUAGGUCUCAGAGAACUCCCCCACCUGUGGUUUUACCUGCAGCCAGCAGAGCUUAGCUUCAAGGACACCUGCCUUCAAAGCCACUGAGGGGAGGAAGGGCAGGGCAGACUGCAGAUGGCCUUGUUGCUGGCAUCCCGGCCAGGUGGGCGGGGACUAACAAAGACAGCUGUUUAGGGUCUUCUCCCCUCACCCAUGCUUUCAUCAUCCCCUCCGCACAGCCUCCCCGUCCAGGCCUUCUAACCACACCUACCCAGGGCUGCCGCAUUCCUGCACUCAGAAGUCUGCAGCGGUGCCUCACAAACUUGAUUGUGCAUAAAAAUCACUGGGGAUCUUGUUAAUACAGCUUCUAACUCAAUAGAUCUGGGAGAUCCUGCAUUUCUAACAAGCUCCCAGGUAAGGCGGAGGCUGCUGGUGUGAGGACCAUGCUGUGAGCAGCAGGGCGAGAGUGCCCAGGGCUGAUAUAUAUUGGAAAUAUCACCCCUGAAGCCAUCGCUGGCCCCCACCUCCUGUGGACUGAUGCCCCAGGGAUUCCCACCCCACUUCUGCAACCCCAGGUAUCCUUCAUUAUCCACCCCAUCCCAGACUCCCACCCCAGGGAUUGCCCGUGAAGACUUUGGCCUAGCAAAUUGUGUUGGUUAUGUGAGUGUUGUUUUAAUCAGAGAUGUACAUGAUUGCCAAUCUGCAUUUCUUACCAGUGUGACCACACUGUUACGAUGCAAUUCUAGC